GCCCCGGCCAUAGCGGCUGGGCAACACCCGGACUCGUCAGAUCCCGGAAGUUAAGCCAGCCGCGUUGGGCUGGGCUGUAAGGUCCGAGAGGCCUUGCAGCCCACCCAAGCUGGGAGCU
rnacentral:rRNA from 1 species